rnacentral:rRNA from 1 species
AUUGAACGCUGGCGGCAUGCUUUACACAUGCAAGUCGAACGGUAGAGGGGGCAACCCCUUGAGAGUGGCGAACGGGUGAGUAAUGCAUCGGAACGUGCCCAGUCGUGGGGGAUAAAGCAGCGAAAGCUGUGCUAAUACCGCAUACGAUCUCUGGAUGAGAGCGGGGGACCGAAAGGCCUCGCGCGAUUGGAGCGGCCGAUGUCAGAUUAGGUAGUUGGUGGGGUAAAGGCUCACCAAGCCAACGAUCUGUAGCUGGUCUGAGAGGACGACCCGCCAUCCUGGGACUGAGCAACGGCCCAGACUCCUACGGGCGGCAGCAGUGGGGAAUUUUGGACAAUGGGCGCAAGCCUGAUCCAGCAAUGCCGCGUGCAGGAAGAAGGCCUUCGGGUCGUAAACUGCUUUUGUACGGAACGAAAAGGUCUGGGUUAAUACCCUGGGCACAUGACGGUACCGUAAGAAUAAGCACCGGCUAACUACGUGCCAGCAGCCGCGGUAG